CUAACAACGAUGAACGAGGAAAGUAGCCCAGCGGGAUCCAUCAGGGAGGCGCUGCCCUAGACUGAAAGCAGUGCCAGGCAAACGCUGGAGGAAGUUCCCUCGGGAGUUGUGCGGGUGAAGCGCAAGUAGUCCGCACCGGGAGUUCCCGUUACAGAAUACCUUGAGCGGGCUGCACGGGCAGCCAACAAGGGUGGUACCACGGCGAAUUUGCCCGUCCCUUGA
rnacentral:ncRNA from 1 species